rnacentral:misc_RNA from 1 species
CCCCGCGCCGCUGAGAAAAAGCGAAGCGGCACUGCUCUUUAACAAUUUAUCAGACAAUCUGUGUGGGCACUCGAAGAUACGGAUUCUUAACGUCGCAAGACGAAAAAUGAAUACCAAGUCUCAAGAGUGAACACGUAAUUCAUUACGAAGUUUAAUUCUUUGAGCGUCAAACUUUUAAAUUGAAGAGUUUGAUCAUGGCUCAGAUUGAACGCUGGCGGCAGGCCUAACACAUGCAAGUCGAACGGUAACAGGAAGAAGCUUG